rnacentral:rRNA from 1 species
AGAGUUUGAUCCUGGCUCAGCGCGAACGCUGGCGGCACGCUUUAUACAUGCAAGUCGAGCGGAGGUAUCACUUCGGUGGUACUCGAGCGGCGAACGGGUGAGUAAUGCAUAGGUAAUCUGCCCUUUAGUUUAGGAUAACCCUGCUAACGCGGGGCUAAUACUGGAUGUGAACAUUGACCUGCAUGGGUUAGUGUUCAAAGAUUUAUUGCUAGAGGAUGAGCCUGUGUCCCAUCAGGUAGUUGGUAGGGUAAAGGCCUACCAAGCCAAUGACGGGUAGCCGGCCUGAGAGGGUAGACGGCCACAUCGGGACUGAGAUACGGCCCGGACUCCUACGGGAGGCAGCAGUAGGGAAUUUUGGGCAAUGGGCGCAAGCCUGACCCAGCGAUGCCGUGUGUGGGAAGACGCCCUGCGGGGUGUAAACCACUGUCACCGGGGAAAAAGAAAGUGAUUGUACCCGGAGAGGAAGCACCGGCUAACUCCGUGCCAGCAGCCGCGGUAAUACGGAGGGUGCAAGCGUUGCGCGGAAUUACUGGGCGUAAAGAGUUCGUAGGCGGCAAGUUAAGUCUUGUUUUAAAGGCAUUGGCUCAACCAAUGUACGGGAUAGGAUACUGGCUUGCUAGAGUAUCAGAGAGGAAAGCGGAAUUUCAGGAGUAGCGGUGAAAUGCGUAGAUAUCUGGAAGAACGCCGAAAGCGAAGGCAGCUUUCUGGCUGGUUACUGACGCUGAGGAACGAAGGCGUGGGGAUCAAACAGGAUUAGAUACCCUGGUAGUCCACGCUGUAAACGAUGAUUGCUAGACUUUGGGUAAGUGAAAUUAUUUAGAGUCGCAGUUUACACUUUAAGCAAUCCGCCUGGGGAGUACGUUCGCAAGAAACAAACUCAAAGGAAUUGGCGGGGGCCCGCACAAGCGGUGGAGCAUGUGGUACCUAUCGUGACUGGGAA